CCGCAGAGGAUCAAUAUUUGUUUUUGACUUCACCCUAAAUAACAAAACAUUAUUCCUGUUUCGUUCUUGUGAUGUUUUCUGCAGAUACAAUAUGGUAUAAGGAGGCUAGAUGAGAUUAUUGAUGGGCCUAAUGGUUCAUAUAACACCACAAGCUCUACAUAGGCAGGAAUCCAGGCUGGAAGAUCUUAUCCCAGGCUGUUUCUUUAAGAUGCUUCACGCUGCUUAAUCAGAUAUAGUCAGCAAGUUUCCUGUGGAUAUUGAGCCAUAUGACGAUUGAUAGAGGAAUGAGAAUGGAGAAUUCACAAGUGAAAAUGAGGAAUGGAGCAAGUUAACUAGGAAUUAAGUGGAGCACAUGGCUAUGGGCUACCUAUGAGCCUGUUACUUGUGCAUGAAUGUUUAUAUAUCAGUGCAAGCAGAGGAUUAACUUACGGCAAGCAGGAUGAGCUUGCAAGCAGGGUUCCAGAUUGCUGAAAGGUCUCAGAAAAAUGGAAGGUUAGUGAGGAUUCAAAUUCAGAGAGAAAGGAGGCAUAGAGCUGAGUGAAGCCAGCAGAUGACUUGUAGGCCUCAAAACUCAAAAGUUUAUGGAAACAUGAAAUAAUUAAGUUCUUGGAGGUUUGAUUUUGUAUUUGGUCAUGAACCUCUGACCAUAACUUAUCCUCCUUUUUCCAGCCAUUUGACAUUAGAAAAGAGGAACGAGAAUGGAGAACUUAAAAUUUGAAAUGUGUUGUAGUAUAUAUGAUAGUUUAUAUGUCUAUCUCAUGUAUAGGAUAGGUACUUGAGAAUAAAGAGGGAUGCUUAAGUGUAAAGAUAGGUAUAGUGACUUGUAUGAUGAGCUUUAUGCCAAAGGGGAACAAGCAUGGUUAUCUCUAUCAUCACAGCCACAAUGCCACAUG